rnacentral:rRNA from 1 species
AACGUAGGUGGCAAGCGUUAUCCGGAAUUACUGGGCGUAAAGAGUGCGUAGGCGGUUCGUUAAGUCAGCUGUGAAAGCCCCGGGCUCAACCUGGGAACUGCGGUUGAAACUGGCGAACUAGAAUCUGGCAGAGGGGGGUGGAAUUCCACGUGUAGCAGUGAAAUGCGUAGAGAUGUGGAGGAACACCGAUGGCGAAGGCAGCCCCCUGGGCUGAGAUUGACGCUCAGGCACGAAAGCGUGGGGAGCAAACAGG